GAUGAACGCUAGCGGCAGGCCUAAUACAUGCAAGUCGAGGGGUAGAGUUAGCUUGCUAACUUGAGACCGGCGCACGGGUGCGUAACGCGUAUGCAACCUACCUUUAUCUGGGGGAUAGCCCGAAGAAAUUCGGAUUAACACCGCAUAAAAUCACAGUAUCGCAUGAUGCAAUGAUCAAAUAUUUAUAGGAUAAAGAUGGGCAUGCGUGUCAUUAGUUAGUUGGCGGGGUAACGGCCCACCAAGACCACGAUGACUAGGGGAUCUGAGAGGAUGACCCCCCACACUGGUACUGAGACACGGACCAGACUCCUACGGGAGGCAGCAGUAAGGAUAUGGUCAAUGGAGGCAACUCUGAACCAGCCAUGCCGCGUGCAGGAAGACGGCCCUCU
rnacentral:rRNA from 1 species